GUAACGAAAGUGAGCGGAACUCGCUGUGCUGGCGCAUCAGUAGUAAAAGUUUAGUGAAAAUGGAAGAAAGAACCUUGUUUCCGACAUAUAUAAAAUAAUCUGCGAACUGAGAAAAGGCGAUUUCACAAGCUGUGAAAUUCCCAGCACUCUAACUUCAGUGCGCAAUAAACCCAGUAGCAAGUUGAUUGUAUUUUAUUGGACCUCUGUGAAAAUGAAUUCUACUGAAGGAAGUGAACUUGGGGCGGAAAUUCAAAGGGGACCCACUCCUCCCCCGCUUCCACCACCGCCCCAAAUAUUUAAAAUGGAUACUACACAUAAUAAUUAUGUGGAAAGUAAGCGCUGUUAUCAAUGUCAAAAGAAAAAGGCCCAAAAUUCAAUGACUUUUGAAGAGUAUCAAAUCUGGGAAAACAUUAGAAGAUGUGUCUUGAGAUAUUGCAAGUCCUGCGACCCAAAAGAAUCCGAAAGAAAGAGAGAAAAAAAAAAUUAAA